ACCUGAUCUGAUCAGACGAUUCUGUCAGGGAUUUGGGCGCGGAGGUUUUUAGGCGUUAUUGGUAACAUACAGAGGACACUAUAGGGGCAAUAUUGCGCGCUCCAAUGUAUGUUUUUUUUUUCUCUCGCUCGCUCUCUUUUGCCACCGCUCCGCCUACCCCUUUUCGCAACAUUGACGCAACCUAUAAAUACUGGAACAAAAGAAGAACUUCCUUGAAACCCGCUGGAACUGCAUUUAGACCGAGACACGGAUCCUUGUUCUCAACUAUGGAAAUACCGAGUUGUGAGGUAGAAUUGAAUGUAGUCCAUCUGGUGGACCGUCGAGAUGCACUUGAGCACUUGUCUCUAUAAUCAUUAUGAGACAUGGGGAGAGGUGCUCCAAACCCAGCUGCCUAUGACUGUGUGUGUGUGUGUGUGAGAGAGAGACAGACAGACAGACAGACAGACAGACAGACAGACAGACAGACAGACAGACAGACAGAGAGAGAGAGAGAGAGAGAGAGAGACACUACGGCAGAGAGAUUGAAAGGAGAGGAGGAGAGAGAUGGUGACUGAAUGCGUGAGAACUGAAGAGUGAACACCUGUGUUGGGUGCAUGUAUAGUGUAUGAGUCUGAAAAAGAAGGGAGUGUAUGUGUGAGAAAGAAGUGUGUUGCAUUCAUGCUCCCUCACCCUCCCUCUCCUUCUUGCGCACACACACACUGGGGAUGUGAGGACAAGGGACGAGAGGGAGAGAGAGGGUUGGUUCUGGUUCUGGUGGUGCUGUAGCAGCACUGAAUGGUUUGUGGGUUACACAGAGAUGCAGGCCAUACUGUGCUGCGGCAGCAACUCCGGGAGAGGAAGACAAGACACCUGAGAAAGCAGGAAAUGGAAAGAACCAGUAUUAGUCUUGGGAGAGUGGACUGUGCAAAGGCCAAUAUUUUGUAUCACGCCAGCAUGCGGAGACGCAGUCCCGUCUGCUUAGAAGUGUUUGUGGGAUCCACCUGCUUGGGCGACUGGCUGCCUUGCUGUAGCAGCACGUAAAUAUUGGAGUUAAGAUUACAGCUGAAGCCUCCAGUAUUGAUCGUGCUGCUGAAGCAAAGUUGACCGCUUCUGCAUCCCGGACUCACUCUCUGUGCAGCUUAAUCCCGCCACAAACAUGAAGACCGCGGGUUCAACGAUGCUAUGAAGGUGUAGGCCUACACCAAUGUGAUGAGCAGUUUGGACCUUUUCGUCAUCAUGCUGUACUUUUAGUGGAUGAAAAUAUUUUUUACAGUGUACUUUUUUGUUUAGAUUUUUUUUUUUUUUUUCAUUAAAAGGGUCCGCAUUUUUGUUUGCACGCGGUUGAUCGUGGAGGUCUCGCUUUAGCAGACCAACAUUCACAAUAAGGCUAAUUGAAACGGCAAAAGCUAAUUUAAUGCGCAGUGAGAGUAUUUGGAAGUGACCAAUACGCCUUUUAGUCUAAAGCGUGCAGUCUACAUUUAUAAACGGACCUAGUUGAUCGCCACAAUGUGCUUACAUAUCGUAUGUGUGAUUUUGCAAUAAAGACUAUCUCAAAGCUUC